rnacentral:rRNA from 1 species
AAGACCUUGCACUUUUGGAGCGGCCGAUGUCUGAUUAGCUAGUUGGUGGGGUAAUGGCCUACCAAAGCUUCGAUCAGUAGCUGGUCUGAGAGGACGGCCAGCCACACUGGGACUGAGACACGGCCCAGACUCCUACGGGAGGCAGCAGUGGGGAAUUUUGGACAAUGGGCGCAAGCCUGAUCCAGCCAUGCCGCGUGAGUGAAGAAGGCCUUCGGGUUGUAAAGCUCUUUCAGCCGGGAAGAAAAGGUUGCGACUAAUAAUCGCAAUCCAUGACGGUACCGAAAGAAGAAGCACCGGCUAACUACGUGCCAGCAGCCGCGGUAAUACGUAGGGUGCGAGCGUUAAUCGGAAUUACUGGGCGUAAAGGGUGCGCAGGCGAUUUUGUAAGUCAGAUGUGAAAUCCCCGGGCUUAACCUGGGAACU